UACGUAGGUGGCAAGCGUUGUUCGGAAUUACUGGGCGUAAAGGGCGCGUAGGCGGCCUGCUAAGUCGGACGUGAAAUCCCUCGGCUCAACCGAGGAACUGCGUCCGAUACUGGUGGGCUUGAAUCCGGGAGAGGGAUGUGGAAUUCCAGGUGUAGCGGUGAAAAUGCGUAGAUAUCUGGAGGAACACCGGUGGCGAAGGCGGCAUCCUGGACCGGUAUUGACGCUGAGGCGCGAAAGCUAGGGGAGCAAACGGG
rnacentral:rRNA from 1 species